rnacentral:rRNA from 1 species
UCCUACGGGGGGCAGCAGUGGGGGAUAUUGCACAAUGGGGGGAACCCUGAUGCAGCGACGCCGCGUGGGUGAAGAAGCGCCUCGGCGCGUAAAGCCCUGUCAGCAGGGAAGAUAAUGACGGUACCUGAAGAAGAAGCCCCGGCUAACUACGUGCCAGCAGCCGCGGUAAUACGUAGGGGGCAAGCGUUAUCCGGAUUUACUGGGUGUAAAGGGGGCGCAGACGGCGAUGCAAGCCAGGAGUGAAAGCCCGGGGCCCAACCCCGGGACUGCUCUUGGAACUGCGUGGCUGGAGUGCAGGAGGGGCG